rnacentral:lncRNA from 1 species
UUAAAUUUUAUAAAAUUUUCAUUCUUCUUAUUUUUUUUCUAUUAGCUGCAUCAUUUUAUGUUAUCGCGAUAUCUCCCUCGCCCUCUACCACGGCCACCCUCUCGUCGAAAGUGCUCCUCAGAGAAGUGCAGGCGUAUCUUCGUCCUCGCCCUCAUAGGCGACAGCGAGCACUACCUCGGCCGCGACCUCAUCGCCUCCGUCCGCUCUACUCUCACUCGUCCUUGCUCCGAGUCUUCCUCCUUCGGUGCCGGUUUCAGUGUCUGCACCAACGAAGGCGGUGGAAGAGGACGUGGCACUGUCUUUGUUACCGUUGCGGGGGGCUACGAAGGCGAUGGAGAAGGGUCGGAUAGUAGAAAAAGAAGAACGCGAGAAAAAAGAAAUAGAGAAAAAAGUGAAUAAGAAUAUUUUUCUCAGUUUUCUAAAAAUUUAACUCUGUAAGAUAUAAAAAGACAACUUACUUUUGCAAAAAUCUCAAAAUUAGUAAGUUUUUCGGUAAACUACAAAUACCACCCCUGUGGUUUCACACUAUCUCACUUUAGUAUCCCGUAGUUUAAAGUGUAUCAAGUUAGUACCCUGUGAUUUUAUUUUUGUCUUUUUGUCAGCUUCUUUGUUAAUAUGUUAUUAAAUUAUAUACAAAAAUAUUCAAAUGCCCUAUUUAGGUUUAUCGAAUAUUCACUUUAAUAUCCUUUAGUUUUAACUUUGUUAUUGAUUUAACGAAAAAAUUAGUGAAAUUGAUAAUAAAAAGAGAAUAAUGAAACCACAGGGUACCAAAUUGAUACAAGUAUAGUAAAGUGAGAAAGUACGAAACCACAUGGUGGUAUUUGAAGUUUUUUCUAAAUUUUUUAUAUAAAUUGAUUUUUUUUUUUUUUCUUAUUAUUCACUUGA